rnacentral:lncRNA from 1 species
AAUGCAUCCAAAGUGUACAUGAGUCUUUUCUGGUUCAUAACAUAUUUUUUGGUCCCUUUCAGAUCACAGUCAUGUCAACAGUGGGCAUCAGGCUUGUAAGAGACAUGAAUUAUCUGUGAGAUUCAGUGAACAAGGCUAGAAGGACUGGGUAUUGGCUCCUACGGGUUACUCUGCCUUCCACUGUGAUGGAGAAUGUCUCUACCCUCUGUGUUCCUGCAUGAACUCCACCACCCACACUAUGAUCCAACUAGUGGUUUGUUGAACAUGUGUGGAAAUGAAACUCCAGCACACUGGUAGCACGUGAAAAGACGUGAGACGUGAAAAAAAGACGUGAAAAGACGUGUGAGUAUAACUUUUCCAGGUGAGUUGAACCUGCCUGUGGGUGCAGUGGGGA